CAGGGAAGAGGCAGAGCAUGG
rnacentral:miRNA from 1 species